rnacentral:lncRNA from 1 species
AUGGCACUUUCAGGUACGGGAGCAGAUGGACUGUGCACAAGCAAGGUUGCAACUUUCUCACUUGCAGGAAGCAAAAGGAUGGGGGAAAACGUGAGAAAUAGGUAUAAGAGUUCUGCCAAAAUAGCUCUCAUGACUGCUGAGCGCAAAGGAGCUCCAGGAGUCAACGAGCAACUUGGGGUACAUCUAAGACACGACGCUUUGCUCGUCCAGGUAAUCAGAUCAGAAGCAGCGUUGGAAUCGAAAACAGACUCGACGGAGGAAUUUUUCACUUGCCUGAGGAAAAUAAAAAGCCUCUCUUGGCUAUCCAGCACCCUUCCUGGCUGGCGGCACAGGGGAGGACGCAGAGUUGCCAUCCCCAGAGUCAUUCCCAAAGGGCGUAUAAAGGUGAGGAGAAGCGACCCUACAGGCUAUGGGGACAGAAACCUUGAGAGCCGCGGCGAUGUGACCCCGAACGCCGCCGCUCGCUGGAGCGACGCGCGGAAAUUGCAGGCAUGUGCUGGAAGAACAGAACAGACAGCGAAGAGAGAUUGGCCUGAAAUUACGUGGUGUUUGCCGAGGACGUAA